GACGAACGCUGGCGGCGUGCCUAAUACAUGCAAGUUGAGCGCUGAAGGUUGGUACUUGUACCAACUGGAUGAGCAGCGAACGGGUGAGUAACGCGUGGGGAAUCUGCCUUUGAGCGGGGGACAACAUUUGGAAACGAAUGCUAAUACCGCAUAAAAACUUUAAACACAAGUUUUAAGUUUGAGAGAUGCAAUUGCAUCACUCAAAGAUGAUCCCGCGUUGUAUUAGCUAGUUGGUGAGGUAAAGGCUCACCAAGGCGAUGAUACAUAGCCGACCUGAGAGGGUGAUCGGCCACAUUGGGACUGAGACACGGCCCAAACUCCUACGGGAGGCAGCAGUAGGGAAUCUUCGGCAAUGGACGAAAGUCUGACCGAGCAACGCCGCGUGAGUGAAGAAGGUUUUCGGAUCGUAAAACUCUGUUGGUAGAGAAGAACGUUGGCGAGAGUGGAAAGCUCAUCAAGUGACGGUAACUACCCAGAAAGGGACGGCUAACUACGUG
rnacentral:rRNA from 1 species